UACGAAGGGGGCGAGCGUUGUUCGGAUUUACUGGGCGUAAAGGGCGCGCAGGCGGCUCAUUUUGUCAGGCGUGAAAGCCCCGGGCUUAACCUGGGAGGUGCGUUUGAUACGGAUGGGCUAGAGUUCGGGAGAGGAGAGUGGAAUUCCCAGUGUAGAGGUGAAAUUCGUAGAUAUUCGCAAGAACACCAGUGGCGAAGGCGGCUCACUGGCCCGGUACUGACGCUGAGGUGCGAAAGCGUGGGGAGCAAACAGG
rnacentral:rRNA from 1 species